GAUCAUGGCUCAGGAUGAACGCUAGCUACAGGCUUAACACAUGCAAGUCGAGGGGCAGCAUGGUCUUAGCUUGCUAAGGCCGAUGGCGACCGGCGCACGGGUGAGUAACGCGUAUCCAACCUGCCUUACACUCUUGGACAGCCUUCUGAGAGGGAGAUUAAUACAAGAUGUUAUCAUGGGUAAGGCAUUUCGUCAUGAUUAAAGGUUUUAACCGGGUUACGGUUAAGG
rnacentral:rRNA from 1 species